AUCACUUAUGUCAUCCAUCGGCACAAUUAGCGAUAGGCUGGAUAAAUUGGAGGCAGGUGGUACUAACCAGACCGCUGCAAAUCCAACUGUUACCAGUCACCCACUCGUUGAUGUUAUGCCCGGUAAUACGUAUUGAAUCAAUUAACCCCUCGCACAUGGUCCCAUCUCACCUUAAAAAGGACAUUCUAGAGGGCAAGGAUGUCAACCUGGUUUCAUUGCUCAUUGCCACCCAGGAUGUCCUAGAGAACAGGACCUUUGCAUUCGGGGAUAUUUCAGUGGUUCUAAGGGCAAGAGACCCCC